UAGGGAAUCUUCGGCAAUGGACGAAAGUCUGACCGAGCAACGCCGCGUGAGUGAAGAAGGUUUUCGGAUCGUAAAACUCUGUUGUUAGAGAAGAACAAGGACGUUAGUAACUGAACGUCCCCUGACGGUAUCUAACCAGAACGCCACGGCUAACUACGUGCCAGCAGCCGCGGUAAUACGUAGGUGGCAAGCGUUGUCCGGAUUUAUUGGGCGUAAAGCGAGCGCAGGCGGUUUCUUAAGUCUGAUGUGAAAGCCCCCGGCUCAACCGGGGAGGGUCAUUGGAAACUGGGGGACUUGAGUGCAGAAGAGGAGAGUGGAAUUCCAUGUGUAGCGGUGAAAUGCGUAGAUAUAUGGAGGAACACCAGUGGCGAAGGCGGCUCUCUGGUCUGUAACUGACGCUGAGGCUCGAAAGCGUGGGGAGCAAACAGG
rnacentral:rRNA from 1 species